rnacentral:rRNA from 1 species
UACAGAGGGUGCAAGCGUUGCUCGGAAUCAUUGGGCGUAAAGGGCAAGUAGGUGGUCUCAUUUGUCUUGUGUGAAAUCCUUGGGCUUAACCCAAGAAGUGCGCAAGAAACGGUGAGACUCGAGUUCUGGAGAGGGUCGUGGAAUUCCCGGUGUAGCGGUGAAAUGCGUAGAGAUCGGGAGGAACACCAGAGGCGAAGGCGGCGACCUGGACAGACACUGACACUCAACUGCGAAAGCGUGGGGAGCAAA